AGGGGCUUAAUGAUGCCUUAUAGUUCAAUUCAAUUCAAUUCAAUUUUAUUUGUAUAGCGCCAAUUCAUAACAGAAGUUAUCUCAGGACACUUUUCAAAUAGAGCAGGUCUAGACCGAACUCUUUAACAUUAAUUACAGAGACCCAACAGUACCACCAUGAGCAAGACCUUGGAGACAAGGGCAAGGAAACACUGCCUGUUAAAAGGCAGAAACCUAGGACAGAUCCUCCGGCUCUAGGUGGGUGGUCGUCUGUCUCGACCAGUUGGGGUGAGAGAGAGAGAGAGAGAGAGAGAGAGAGAGAGAGAGAGACAGAGAGAGAGAGAGAGACAGAGAGAGAGAGAGAGACAGAGAGAGAGACAGAGAGAGG